rnacentral:lncRNA from 1 species
GAUUUAUACACUACUGGUAAGAAUGUAAAUUAGUUCAGCUAAUAAGUUCAUACUAAAUUUCCCAGACUUGCUAAAAAUGUCUUUUUACAUUUAAUGUUUGAAUCAGAAUUCAAUGUUCACAAAUCACAUUUGUUUUAGCUCUUUACCUAUCUUGAUCCUUUUCUCUUCUUUUUUUUCAUGCAAUUGACUUACCACUGAAACUGGAUUAGCUGUUUUCUUGUAGAAUUUCCCACAGUUUUGAUUUGUUUGAUUGCUUCCUUGUAGUGUCAUUUAAUUUGCUCUUUUAACUCCCAUAAUUUGUAUAAAUAGAAGCUAGUUCUAGACUCUUAAAGAGUCUAGGGGUGUGUGUGUGUGUGUGUGUGUGUGUAUAUAUAUAUAUAUAUAUAUAUAUAUAUUUUUUUUUUUUUUUUUUAGCUGGAGUAGUUAGUAGAAGAUUCUAUGGGAUCCAUGUUAUUCCAGAUAAGGAGGAACCAGGUUUUUAAUUUUCUACUUUUAAUGGAACAGCCAGAAUUGUUUAUUGGAAUGUUUCAAUCUACUUUUAUGUAAUGAUUGUAUCCACUGAUGAUUAUUGCUGGAAUCCAUUAUCUCAUUGAGGGUUGCAAGAUGGUGGUUUCAUUUUUUUAUUAUUUAUUUAUUUUUUAUUAUUAUUAAGUUCUAGGGUACAUGUGCAUAAUGUGCAGGUUUGUUACAUAUGUAUACUUGUGCCAUGUUGGUGUGCUGCACCCAUCAACUCGUCAGCACCCAUCAACUCGUCAUUUACAUCAGGUAUAACUCCCAAUGCAAUCCCUCCCCCCUCCCCCCUCCCCAUGAUAGGCCCCGGUGUGUGAACUCAUCAGCACCCAUCAACUCGUCAUUUACAUCAGGUAUAACUCCCAAUGCAAUCCCUCCCCCCUCCCCCCUCCCCCCUCCCCAUGAUAGGCCCCGGUGUGUGAUGUUCCCCUUCCUGAGUCCAAGUGAUCUCAUUGUUCAAUUCCCACCUAUGAGUGAGAACGUGCAGUGUGUGGUUUUCUGUUCUUGCGAUAGUUUGCUGAGAAUGAUGGUUUCCAGCUGCGUCCAUGUCCCUAAAAAGGACACAAACUCAUCCUUUUGAUGGCUGCAUAGUAUUCCAUGGUGUAUAUGUGCCACAUUUUCUUAAUCCAGUCUGUCACUGAUGGACAUUUGGGUUGAUUCCAAGUCUUUGCUAUUGUGAAUAGUGCCGCAAUAAACAUACGUGUGAUCUCUCAUUUUCAAUUGAAGGGGACAGAUUUUUAAAAAUUAGAUUACUUAGACAUAAGUAAUGAACACCAAUUAAAUAAUUUUAUCAGAUUACUUUUUAAAAACAUUGUAUUAAUUUAUAUUUUUAAUCAGCAGUUUAUUAAAAUAAUAACAUAACAAAAAUAUAAAAAUAAUAGAAAGAAUAACAUAGCAUUAGGAAGAAAUAUUUAAGUAAGUACUAUUAUAUAGGCACUAAACCCAGGGUUAUUUUUGCCAGGGAGUAAAUUGUACAUAUGUUUGCUUUCCAUUCAUAUAUAUAUACUCAUUGUUUACUAAGGGCACAUUGAAAUAGACAUUAAUAAAAUGGAACAAGAGUCUUAAAUAUAGAGAAUAAAUCAUAUACACUGCGAUUUAUUGUGUGUGACUUUGUUUUUCUUUUAAACUUUUAAAACAAAAAUAGCUGGCUUAGCCAUUGUAUGCUAAAGAAAAUAAAUGUACGACACAUAAAACCCAAUGUUUUCAGAAAGGUAAUGCUGUUUGUCAUAAUAUGUAAAUCUCGGUGACCUAUUACUACACAGACUACAUUUAUUAUUCAAGCUGGAGCAAUUGUAAGAAUGAAGGGGAGAGUUCUUAAUAAAUACACUGGGACGAGCAGUGUAAACUGAAACUGUUCUGUGCAUAGUGGGACAUAUAGUCACUUGAUUUCAUACAAUGUCUAUUUUUUACUUAAAUAAAGAGAUGCUGUUGUAUUGGCAGAUAUUUUGAACUCUGAUUCACACAAUUAUUUGUGGGUCCAGAGACUUUCAUCUCUGACAUGUGGCUUCUAAGAGUACACUGGGUGUUGCCUUCGAGGAGGAUUUAUGGAUGAUGCCUGGAAAUGAGGCAAAUCAUAUUCACCCACAUUCCAUUGGCAAGAACUCAGUCAUUUGGCCACAUUUAAAUACAAUGGUGGCUUCAAACUGUAGUCCAUUUAAAUAUGCAGGAGGAAAGAGACAAUGGUUCAGCAACAGCCAGCCAGUGUUUUUUCACAGCUUAAAAAUAGAACAUUUUAAAUAAUCUUUGUAUGUUUAUAGAACCAUGGAAAAAAAUGGAUCCAGAAGAAAAACAACUGUAGGUUGAUAUUAUAUUUUAUCUCUAGAACAUUAUUGUUCUGAUAUUUCUAAACUAGCCCUGAAAGAG